GUUUAGUUGCUAUAGCUUUUCCAAGAAAUUUCAUUUUUUAAACCCUAUAGGGACGAAAAUUGGCCUCUAUAAACUUGGCGGGGUGGAGGGAAAUUAUCCCGCUUUGUGAAAAUAUUUAUACCAACCAAAUUUCGUCCCAAUAGAAAAAUAAAGUUUUAAUUUUAUUUUUUUUAACCUAAGUGUAAAUAAAAACGAAAAAACAAAAAACAAAAAAUCAUUUUUAUUAACCUACAGCGACUAAACCUCGUAUGCAAUAGCCCUGAACAUUGUUUCAUAUAAAAGACAUCCUCUUUUUCCCCUAAAACCACAUCCCUCAAUUUUCCCUAAAACCCUCCAGCAGAACCCACUUCCCUCCAGAGAAUCAAGUUUUUUCCGGCGAUUUUGGGCAAGAAACCACCGCCGUCACUGGCCGCUGUUCGAAGGUUCAUUGUUUCACUUCUUCAAGCUGAGUUCAGAUUUGCUCUGUUUCACCAAUUUAAUCUUUUCUUCAUUUGCACCAUGCUUGGAUUUGAUUGUAAAGUAGACACGAAGCUUCCUUCUAGAUGUAUAUGUGAUUUAUAGUCCUAUUUUGUUUAUUAGUAGAAUUUUAGAUAGGGUUUUUUCAUCUAUGCCCUAGGUGAGUUUUUGGGGUCAUUAUGUGAUGAACACUAUCAAUCAGAUACUGUAGGCGAUUGACUAAUGAAUAGACCUGGCAAACGGUUGGUCGGGUCAUGGGUCAAACGGGUCCAGCGGGUUUAGCCUUGAGUAAACCCAUAAAUAAAUUUGAAGCGAACAUAUGUAACAUUGUAAGUCCGUGUUCCAGUGGGUUUAGCCGUUGAGUUUAGUAGUAGAAUUAUAAGAUCAUGAGUUCAAGUCUGGUUCAUGUCUUUUUUUUUUUUUUUGUUAAUAGUUCAACUCCAUUGUGAUUUGUGAAUAAAAGUGUUCUAACAUUAAAUUUUGAUUUGUAAAUAAAAGUGUUUGUUAAAUAAA